rnacentral:tRNA from 1 species
UCCCUCAUAGCUCAGUUGGUAAAGAAUUUGCCUGCAAUGCAGGAGACCCAGGUUCAAUUCCUGAGUUGGGAA